rnacentral:sRNA from 1 species
UAGCCCACAUGAUAGUUGAGGAACCACUUCAAGCUGGUCAUUUAGAGUCUAGGCUCAGCCCUGGGAACACACCCAUCUUUGUAAUUAAGAAAAACUCUGGUAAAUGAAGAUUAUUACAAGACCUUAGAGGUACUAAUUGUGUUAUAGAGCCCACGGGAGCACUGUAAUCUGGGCUUCCUUCUCCUACAGCUAUUCCUUUAGAUUAUUAUUUGAUAGUAGUAGGUCUAAAAGAUUGUUUUCUCUCUGUACCUUUGUACCCAGACAACUGUAAAAAGUUUUUCUUUAG